UAUUUUAUUGCAAGAGUAAUAAUGUUCCAAAUAAUCUGUAACCGCGAGGUUUUGGUGAGAAUUAGUGCUACUAUCUGGGAAAAAAUACACAUCAUCGUACCAGGCAAUCCAGACGAAUUGCACAAGCUUGAAACCUGAAACUAUCUCGUAUG